rnacentral:sRNA from 1 species
AAAACAAAAAUAAAAGCAAUAUUAGUAUGAACCUCCCCCAGACUUAAACGACAUUGUCCCCAAUGGCAUUCAAAUCUAGAAAAAUCGGGAAAAAUAAAUCAAAAAUAAAAGAAAAUAAAAGAAAGGGAAAAGAAAAAUCAAACCAGUAGGUUGCCUCCCACUAAGUGCUUGUUUUGAGUCAAUAGCUUGACUUGGCGGAGUUCAGGAUGUGGGUGGAGUGGUGGAGGAUUGCUGCUGCCUCCUCGCCUUCCAAGGCGGUGUGUAAACAAAUCUGGUUGGAGCAGCUAAAGGAACUCUAGGCUUGUUAUCUUUUGAAGCAGUCUUCGAAUAAUCUAAAGAAUUAAUCAAAGGUAAAGCGGGAGAAGAGAGAGAAGAAAACUUAUCACAUAGGUCCUCAAGUGGUGUAGGCUGAAGAGAAUGUGCAGAAUCCUCUAUCUGUGAAACCCGAGGGUGUCGAUCGACAGGGGUAGUGGUGUCGAUCGACACCGUUGAUCUGCAAUUCUCAUUGGCGAGCUAAGUGGAUGGGAGCGUUGUGUGUGGCUCUGUGGUGGGAUUCUGAGCAGUUUGAGGACGUGUUUCUAUGCUGGAAGCAAUGCAAUUGAUAGGCUUAGUAAGCUCUGAACCAUCCAUGCCAAACUCCAUCUCCAAAUCACAAACCUUGAGAGAGAUUCUCCCUCUCUUCACACCAAAUCUAGCACCAGCUAUAGCUAGGAACGCUCUCCCAAGGAUAAGAGGAUCCUUGGGUUCCUUCUCAUAGUCCAGGACCACGAAAUCAGCAGGGAUUAUGGAGUUACCAACCUUAAAAGGAACAUCUUCAAGGAUUCCUUCAAGGAUUCGCUUGGAAUGAUCCGCGAAGAGAUGAGUGAUGCUAGUAGACCUGUAGUGAGUCAUGCCUAGUCUCUCAGCAACAAACUUAGGAAUGAGGUUGAUGCUUGAUCCUUGAUCACACAAAGAGCGGCUGAAUCUGCUUGUGGAAAUAGAGCAAUCAAGAACAAAGCUACCUUGGAUCUGGAAGCUUCUCAGUGGUCUGACCAGGAGUAAUGGUGCGGAUGUACUCAGCUAUGUCUACUCUUUGUGCCUUCUCCUUCUUGGCCUUAGGGAGCAUGAUGGCUCUCAUGUCCCUGGUAAGUAGCUUAGCUUCAUCUGAGGUAAUUCCAUUGUUAACAAGUCGCUUAACAUACGUGUUGAGUGAAGCGGAAGAUGUCUCAAAAGCCUCUUUAGGAAGAGUAUGGAGGAUCUUCUCCAUGAUGGUUGUACACUUAGCAUCAUGAAUCUCCUGCUUAGAACGAUGCCUCAUCGGAUAAGGGACUGGAGGGUUGUCAACAGACUCGGGCUGCAUUAGAAUUUGCACCUCACAAGGUGCAGUUCGGAUCCAGUGUUGAUCGACACUAGAGGGGUAUCGAUCGACACCGUCGUACUGUGUCAUCUCUGAGAAAAGAGUCCUGUAUGGUGUCGAUCGACAUUGAAGGGUGUCGGUCGACAACAUCUCUACAACUGCGAGCUCCAACUCGUCUUCAGUGUCCAAUUCCUCCCACACAUCAUCUCCUUCUCUAAUCAAGAUGGCAUUACAGCUCUUCCUUGGGUUUGCAUCAGGAUUACCAGGAAGAAAGCUCUCUUGUCUCUUGAUAGAUUGUGCAGUUUGAGCUACCUGUACAGGAUUGAGAGCUCAGA